UCGUGGUCGAGAGGGAAAUAACCCAGAUCGCCGGCUAAGGUCCCCAAUUCAUGCUAAGUGUGUAAGGAAGUCGGAUUGCUGUGACAGCCAGGAUGUUGGCUUAGAAGCAGCCACCAUUUAAACAGUGCGUAAUAGCUGACUGGUCGAGCAACCCGGUGCCGAGAAUGAUCGGGACUAAGCAUGAUACCGAAGCCGCGGAAUUGCCGUAAGGCAAUUGGUAGGAGAGCGUAGCUGUCGGCGUUGAAGGCGUACCGUAAGGAGCGCUGGAGCGGCAGCUAGUGAGAAUGCCGGUAUGAGUAACGAUAAAGCAGGUGAAAAUCCUGCUCGCCGUAAGCCUAAGGUUUCCUGGGGAAGGUAAAUCCGCCCAGGGUUAGUCGGAUCCUAAGUCGAGGCUGAAAAGCGUAGACGAUGGACAGCAGGUUAAUAUUCCUGCACUGCGCAUUGCGGUUGAACCGCGGAUGACGCAUCUACAAAGCGAAUCCACCGAUCAGACGUGGUGGUUGGGGCCCCGGUAACGGGGUCACUCGAGGCCGAUUUGUUGCCGAAGUUCGUGACGCAGGUGCCGAGAAAAGCUCCGCGGGGACAAUGUGCGCACCCGUACUAAAACUGACACAGGUAGGCGAGGAGAGUAUCCUCAGGCGCUCGAGAGAACCGUCCUUAAGGAACUAGGCAAAUUGACCCCGUAACUUCGGGAUAAGGGGUCCCUCCCGCAAGGCAUCUUAACUGACGCCAAGCGGAGGGCGCAGAGAAAUGGCUCUGGGAACUGUUUAUCAAAAACACAGGUCUCUGCUAACUCGUAAGAGGAUGUAUAGAGACUGACGCUUGCCCACUACAGGAAGGUCAAGGAAGUAGGUUAGCUCGCAAGAGCGAAGCUUGCAACUUAAGCCCCUGUGAAGGGCGGCCGUAACUAUGACGGUCCUAAGGUAGCGAAAUUCCUUGUCGGGUAAGUUCCGACGUGCAUGAAUGACGUAACGACUUGGGCACUGUCUCAACGAAGAACUCGGCGAAAUUGUAGCAACGGUGAAGAUGCCGUUUACCCGCAACUAGACGGAAAGACCCCGUGAACCUUUACUAUAGCAUGUCAUUGUGUUUUGGCAUAAGAUGUGUAGGAUAGGUGGGAGACGUGGAAUGGGAGACGCCAGUCUUUCAGGAGUCGCCAUUGAAAUACCACCUUUUUUGUGUUAGAAUUCUAACUGAUGCCCGUGAACCGGGAUCAGGACAGUGAUAUGUGGGUAGUUUGACUGGGGCGGUCUCCUCCGAAAGAGUAACGGAGGAGUCCAAAGGUAUCCUCAACAUGGUUGGUAAUCAUGUGAAGAGCGUAAAGGUAGAAGGAUACUUGACUGCGAGAGCAAUAAUUCGAGCAGAUGUGAAAGCAGGGCUUAGUGAUCCGGUGAUGCCGUGUGGAAGGGUCAUCGCUCAACAGAUAAAAGGUACUCCGGGGAUAACAGGCUGAUCGCCUCCAAGAGUUCGUAUCGACGAGGCGGUUUGGCACCUCGAUGUCGGCUCGUCGCAUCCUGGGGCUGAAGAAGGUCCCAAGGGUUUGGCUGUUCGCCAAUUAAAGCGGCACGCGAGCUGGGUUUAGACCGUCGUGAGACAGGUCGGUCUCUAUCUGUUGUGGGUGUAGGAAACUUGAGGAGAAUUACCCCUAGUACGAGAGGAUUGGGGUGGACGUACCGCUGGUGUACCAGUUGUCAUACCAAUGGCACAGCUGGGUAGCUACGUACGGAAUAGAUAAGCGCUGAAAGCAUAUAAGCGCGAAGCGGACUUUAAAACUAGGUUUCCCGAUAGAGACCACAGAGACGAUGUGGUAGAUAGGUCGGAUGUGUAGAGACAGUAAUGUAAGAGCUAACCGAUCCUAAUAACUCGAAAGACUUAUGU
rnacentral:rRNA from 1 species